rnacentral:rRNA from 1 species
AUUGAACGCUGGCGGCAUGCUUUACACAUGCAAGUCGAACGGCAGCGGGGCCUUCGGCCUGCCGGCGAGUGGCGAACGGGUGAGUAAUGCAUCGGAACGUGCCCAGUCAUGGGGGAUAACGUACGCGAAAGCGUACGCUAAUACCGCAUACGCCCUGAGGGGGAAAGCGGGGGAUCGCAAGACCUCGCGUGAUUGGAGCGGCCGAUGUCGGAUUAGCUAGUUGGUGGGGUAAAGGCCUACCAAGGCGACGAUCCGUAGCGGGUCUGAGAGGAUGAUCCGCCACACUGGGACUGAGACACGGCCCAGACUCCUACGGGAGGCAGCAGUGGGGAAUUUUGGACAAUGGGGGCAACCCUGAUCCAGCCAUGCCGCGUGAGUGAAGAAGGCCUUCGGGUUGUAAAGCUCUUUCAGACGGAAAGAAAUCGGGAUGGGUCAAUACCCUGCCUGGAUGACGGUACUGUCAGAAGAAGCACCGGCUAACUACGUGCCANCAGCCGCGGUAAUACGUAGGGUGCGAGCGUUAAUCGGAAUUACUGGGCGUAAAGCGUGCGCAGUGCGGUUGUGUAAGACUAGGUGUGAAAUCCCCGGGCUUAACCUG